UCUGUAGGUUUUGCUGAAUGUCUACUUUCCUUGCUGGAGAUGGAUAUUUCGCUGACCCAGGGCCUGAGGGUUACUUGACUGUUUCUAGCCAACCCCUGCAGCUGAGUAAUUUAAAUACUGUGGUUUUUUUUUCUUAGUUUUUCCUUUUUUUUGCAUCCAGUAUGGAUUGUGAGACCAGCUGUUUCUUACAGAAGCAGUAUCGUGUAGAGAGUAGAACAUAGGCCUGAGAGUCAGAAGGACCUGGGUUCUAAUUUCAACUCAACUGUCGGUGUACUGUGUGACCUUGGAGGCUGCCUGAUGUAUUUUCUGGCCUUGAGGAUCAUCUGUCUGGCACUAGGAUUAAGAGGGCAACUUUAAGACCUGAUCUGCCCUGUCCUGGAGGUGGAGCUGUAGGCUGUAUUGCUAUCUCCAAGGGAAGGUUUUGGGACUUUUCCUUUUUUUUGCAUGUGUGAAAGGGGUUAAGAUUAGCUGAGUUGUGGGACAGAGCAGUGAUCCAAAGGAGGCCACCGUGGACACAGAAGCUGCUUCUAGGGGAAAAAAAAAUCGGGGCUCUGUGCAGGGAACUGGCUUUG